AGCGAACGCUGGCGGCAGGCUUAACACAUGCAAGUCGAGCGCCCCGCAAGGGGAGCGGCAGACGGGUGAGUAACGCGUGGGAAUCUACCGUGCCCUACGGAAUAGCUCCGGGAAACUGGAAUUAAUACCGUAUACGCCCUACGGGGGAAAGAUUUAUCGGGGUAUGAUGAGCCCGCGUUGGAUUAGCUAGUUGGUGGGGUAAUGGCCUACCAAGGCGACGAUCAGUAGCUGGUCUGAGAGGAUGAUCAGCCACACUGGGACUGAGACACGGCCCAGAGUCCUACGGGAGGAGGCAGUGGGGAAUAAUGGACAAUGGGCGCAAGCCUGAUCCGGGCAUGCCGCGUGAGUGAUGAAGGCCUUAGGGUUGUAAAGCUCUUUCGUCAGGGAAGAUAAUGACGGUACCUGAAGAAGAAGCCCCGGCUAACUUCGUGCCAGCAGCAGCCGCGG
rnacentral:rRNA from 1 species